GCCGCUAUGGUGAAAUCGGUAAACACGCUGCUCUUAGGAAGCAGA
rnacentral:tRNA from 3 species